CUGGCUCUCAGUGCAGUGGAUGCACUCAGGAAAGACAGAUGAUGAACCAGAUAUAUUCAGAAUCACACUGGCCAGAUCUAUCAACUGGAAAUUGCUUUGGUUCAAUUCAGUGCUCUGUUCCUGAAAUUUUUGAGAUGAAGAAUUUGGCAAGACUACCAUCCACUAAACAGUUGUCAGCAAAACCAGGGCUGUGAAAUGCUCCUUUUCAGUUGUUAUCCAGGUUAUCCCUAGCCACCAAGACCUGCCAUCUGUCUUCCUCCUGAUGCAAGGAGGGUGGAAGAAUCUUGGGUGGUCCUGUCUGGAGGCCAUGUGUCACUUUCAACUAAGGAUAUUCUGUGACUCAAUGAUAAGACAAUGUCACUGUAAAUAUGUCUUUAUGCUGAUAUUUUUACUUAAUAUUCAGUCCAAACAAAGGUUUCUCACCUUUAAUUUUCUAUCCACCCAACCAAUGUUAGAAAUUCAUAAUAUCAUUCAGGUACUUCAUAAAUGAAGUUAGAUAAUUUAAAUUUAAAAGCUCUUCAAUAUCUGUGACUGUUUAUUUCUACCUAUUUCUCUUCCUAAGUCAAGAAAUUCUGUUUCAAAAAUUUAGAUUUUGUAGUGAAAAUACAAGCAGGACACUGUUUAAUGUAUUCCCUGGUCUUCUAACAACAUUUAGAUAACUUACAGCAUAGAAUAAUGGUGUUCUAAGGCAGUAAUGCUAUUAAGGGACUUAGAUAUUGCUCUCAUGAAACCCAUGUGUCUUGUUUGUUUUACUUUUCUUGUAUUUUGUUCCUGGGAAGAGAGAAGAAUUGUGAUGGUAGCAACAGUCACCGUACAAAAAAUGCCUGUAAGGGAACACUUGUUCAGUAGAGAAGCACGUUGCAGUCUUUUUAAUUAAAUGAAAGAUACAGGCGAAAAUAAUAAGAAUAAUGAAUAAUAAAAGAAAAAUAAAGCAGCAUAGGUAUAAGUUAGAUAUUUUCCUAAUUAGAAAUGAACAGAACAGAAAUAUAUAUAUUCUAUGCAAAAUACUCCUUUUCAGCUCUUAGUGUUCUCUUUGCCCUCUGAUUAGUUAUAAAUGCUGGGUCAGGGCUGUACACAGUUUAACAGUUUAACAUAACUAUAUAUUUUUAAAAUGGUUGAAAGGCUCUGUUUAUAUUUGUAUGGACCAUUCUGUUUGUGCAACUGCAACCAAAUCUGAGCUUCCAUUUCUUUCCUAACAGUUCUUUCACUUAGUUACAUUUCCCUUGAAUAUAAUUUCAAAGGCUGACACAAAGAAAAAACUGACAGCAUCAUCCCCCUGCAAGGAAGGUUUUGAUUGAUUCUAGUCUUCUCUACAAGUCUUUGAUUUUUAUGACUCUAUGAACCUUCAGAACAGACUAAAAAGGAAGAUAAUAAUUUAAGAAAUUCUAUGUAUACAUAUGUAUUUUAACAUAUUGUAAAAUGUAUUGUUAAAAUGUAUUUAUUCAAUUGUGUUUACUUUUCCCAAGUUGUUUUGUUUCAUUUUUUCUGCCAGUAUUUUUUUUUUUUUUUUGGUAAUAUAUGCUUUUAUCAUCAAGGUAGCAUAAGAAAAAAUAUUGAAUAUAAAAUAACAUGUAACUCUAAUGCAGGAUCAUACUUGGGGAGAGAGAAAAAUAAUUUUAUCUGAUUAGUCUCACUUUUUUUUUUUUUUUUUGACAGCUUGAGAUGAAUGUCAGUCCAGCAGAAUACCUGAAUGUGUGCUUCACUGCAAUGUUUCAUAGAGUGAUGUCAGAAGUUGCUUAGAGCUAAGUGCUUUGUCUUGAUGCAGUGAAGCAGAUAAACCUGUGUUCAGCGUUAUGCAGAACAGUAACUAACUAGGGACACAUCUUAAUUCAUUUCCCACAGCAUAGCGUCGGAGAAGAAAGAGAUAUUUAGUGACUGGAAGAUCAGUAGGCCUUGUACAGUGAGGACAAGUGCUCCAAAAAAAAUAUAUAUAUAUAUAGAAAUAAAUUUUUAUACUUUAUUGGUAUGCAGAGGAGAUAGAAGUCUUCUGAACAAAGAGAUAGAAAACAGACAGUUAGAAGGAGUGCAAUCUUUUGAUCUUAUUGUUUAUAUGAAUAAACAAUCAAAACUGGCUAUGAACAGUUCUAUGAACUGUUUGCAGGCAAUUUAUAAUUCAAAAGAUACGUGAAAAAUUUCAGUUGCUUAUCAAUGAUGUAUUUACUUUCAUAAGGCUAGUUCCUUUUCCACCAAUGUUCUCUAUAAGUAUAAUUGUUUAUUAUUCAUUCAUAUUAAUAAUAUUUAUUUUUGAUUUUUGGUCAUAAAAUAUAUUAACGUGAAGUCUUCAGAAAUAUAAUUCAAGUUAUUUGUCAAAGAAAUAUAAUUCAAGUUAUUUGUCACAGAAAUAUGUUAAAGUAUGUUAAAUGCAUAGAAGGAAUUAAUAAAAAAAAGAAGCUACUAACAUGAUUGACAGUAGGUCUUUGGCGGAUUCUUAUUCAGUGCCUGCUGCAUAUACAUAGCAUCUAAACACAUAAUCAUAGAAUCAUAGAAUGAUUUGGGUUGGAAGGGACCUUUAAGAUCAUCUAGUUCCAACCCCUUGCUAUAGGCAGGGAUACCUUCCCCUAUACCAGGUUGCUCAAAGCUUCAUCCAGUUCCAAUGAAAUCUCUGUAACAUAAAGCAGCGGAGAAGUUGGGCCCUUGAAGUCCUUUAAAAUUUGCCUGAAAUUAAUUUGAAAAUCUAAAGCAACUGCUGUUCCAGUUCAAGAACAGAUAUUUGUAUAAUAAAAGAUAAGGAAGUGUAAAUCCUAAAAAUUUAGUGGAAGGCAAAUAUUUUUACACAUUGAGGUUGUAAAAGGAGGAAACACUACGAUAUAAGCUAUUAUGUACAUUUUAACAUUUCUAUAUGUAAAGGUUACAAGGUUUCUUGUGCUUCAUGUGAUAUUAUAGUUGUAGUUAGGCUUUAGGCUUACUCAAAUCACACAGAGCCAAGCCAGAGUUCACAAUCUCCAUAUGGCUCCAACAGUUGCACUAUGUUGUGCAAAUAGUGGUGAAGCAAUGUAUCCUUUCUUUCCUCUGCAAAGAAGGAACCUUAACAGAGCAAAAGCAUCUCUUAAUUCCUGACUAUGAUCAGUAUGUGAUCCUCUGUAUCUUUUGAAACAGGAAGAGUACGCUACAGCUAUCAGCCAUGCAUGUAAUGCUAGUACAUUAUUAUUAGAAAACAAGAAAGUUUGACCAUUAGAUGAAUAUUUAUUGUUCUUCUUUUAUAUUUUGCAUGAGUGCAUUCUCUCUGGAGAUGAAGGAGUAGAUCUUCCUGUAUGUACCCCAGAAGAAAUUUCAGUUUUCAGCUGGGCUGGUCUGUUAUGAUACACUUCUGCUAAGCUGAUUUUGAAAUGUAUCUGGCAGAAAAUGAGUGCUGAUGACCAUUUACUCCUUUUCAGUCUUUAAAAUCUACACGACUGCAAAAGCUUUGCUUUUAUUGGAUGAGAUUUUCAUAGGAUGUCCUUACUCAACAAAAGAGAGUAGUCCAAAGAAACAUAAAAGAAAAAAGUAAGAAGAGUACCACAACCAUCAAUUACAUUAUCAGCAUCUUCUUUCUACAUAGACCUCAAGGAUUUUGAACUAGAUUGUCCAGCACUUCAGCAAUCUAGAAAGUUUAUUGGGGAAAAAAUGAAGUAAUUUUUAAGAUUGGAAAUGUCCCAUUUGUACCAUUUAUGUGCUUAUCUUGAUUUUUAAUUCUGAGUGGAUACAUUUAUGUUCCACAUAAAUAAAGAAUGCUGUUUGUCUUAAAGAACUGAUUUAAAUAGAACUGUGGUUUCAUGUGUUUUGUUGUUGUUGUUGUUCUUGUUCUUGUUGUUCUUGUUGUUUGUUUGUUUUGUUUUGUUUUUGUACUGUAAAUCUUGGCAGUAUUUUAAAAUUAUAAUGUUGCCUAAAAUACAAAUUUGCCCCUGAAUAACAUACUUACC
ensembl:lncRNA